rnacentral:tRNA from 1 species
GGUGGGUUCGCAUAGUGGCCGAGUGCGUUCGCUUGGAAAGCGAAUAUCAUUGCAAGAUGAUCGGGAGUUCGAAUCUCCCACCCACCG